rnacentral:tRNA from 1 species
ACAACUGGAUAGCUCAGUUGGUUAGAGCAUGGUGCUGAUAAUGCCAAGGUUGCAGGUUCGAUCCAUGCAUGGGACAGCUGCA